GUGAACCUGCGGAAGGAUCAUUACUGAAUAACUAAAUCUUUAGUUUUUCAUACCCCAUUGUUGACUUACCCAUGUUGCUUCCACGUGGACAGGCGUUCAUUCUGCCCUCUGGCUUGUUGUGCUUACCCCACACUCGACAGGGAGUUGCCCGUGGUAAGACCCCAAUAUUACACUUUUUAUAUAUACUAUAAUGUCUGAAUAAAUCAUUUCAAAUGAAAUAAAACUUUCAACAACGGAUCUCUAGGCUCUUGCAUCGAUGAAGAACGCAGUGAAAUGCGAUAAGUAAUGUGAAUUGCAGAAUCUCGUGAAUCAUCGAAUCUUUGAACGCACAUUGCGCCCUAUGGUAUUCCGUAGGGCAUGCCUGUCUGAGCGUCAGCUCCCCCCAACUCAAACUUUUGUUAGUUUGGAUUACUUUGAAGAUGUAGCUUGUCAAAGCUGCUCUUCAGAAAUUCAUAGGCAGUAUGGUUAUUCCUAGACCAGACGUAAUAAUAAUAAAACCGUCUUUUUGGGAAAGAAUUGUGCUUGCCUCAACCCACCCAUUAUCUUUUUACUUGGGUGACCUC
rnacentral:rRNA from 1 species